UACGGAGGGGGCUAGCGUUGUUCGGAAAUACUGGGCGUAAAGCGAACGUAGGCGGCUUGGCAAGUCAGGGGUGAAAUCCCAGUGCUCAACACUGGAACUGCCUUUGAAACUGCCAGGCUUGAAUCCUGGAGAGGCGAGUGGAAUUCCGAGUGUGGAGGUGAAAUUCGUAGAUAUUCGGAAGAACACCAGUGGCGAAGGCGACUCGCUGGACAGGUAUUGACGCUGAGGUUCGAAAGCGUGGGGAGCAAACAGG
rnacentral:rRNA from 1 species